GUGACAGCCACGUGACAGGAAGACUUUUUUUUCCUUAGUGUUGUGGGGGGUGAUGAAGAUUGUUUGCAGCCCCUGGGGAAUCAGCUGUCCCCCAGAUCAGAGAACUCUCCACCGCAGCUUCCCCUUCUCAAGUCUCGAUUCCUGGGCUGAAGGUUUCACUGUGGGGCGAGGGACAGAGAAGGAGAGCUGAGGACCUGCGGUAGGACCCAGGGGACAGAGGCUUCAGUGAGAGGGCCAGGAUAAAGCCACUCCAAGAGAAAAAGAGAGAGCAGGAGUUCCCGGCGGCAGUUCUGCAAGGGCUCGAGCGCCGGGGACACACGCAGACAGACGCCUCAAGGCUGCGCGCGAAGACACGGCGCAGGCAGACGCACAGACGGGGCUCCCCCACCCUGGACAAGGCGGCAGCGAGUUGGGAAGCCCAGGAAACCCCGGGUUCCCGUCGGAAACCUCCCGGCACCCAGUCCCCUCCCGUAGCGCUUAUCUGGGCAGGACAUGGGGCCCCGACGCCUGCGGGAACCAGGGGCUCCCCAAAAUCCCCGGGGGAGGGGUUACCUCGCAGCCGGGGGACGCAACCCGUUCGGGGUGCCCGCGAGCACAACGUCUGCCCUAACCCGGCGCCCUGGUGCUGUUCGGCAUUAGGGUGCGGGGUCCCGGGAGAGAAGCCGUCCGGGGGGCCGCCGCUCAGGGGCGCGGGGCGACGGCAGCGGCCAUGGCGAGUCACGUGCGGAGGCUGAAACUUUACCCGGAGCCCCAGACUGUAGGGGCGGAGGGUACGGAGCAGAGGUGGGGGAAGGCCCUCUCCCUCAGGCCCGCCCCUGCCCGCCCACCGACCAAUCAUCAGUCAGGGGCGGGUCUACAGGAUCACCACCACCACCCCCCGCCCCCACCUCUCCUUAACAGACCCCGGGAAGGGCGAGUCUUAAAGGAGCCGGUUCUAGCAGAAGGCUGGACCAUGGUAAUCUGGGAGAAUCCCUCCCUCAGACCCGAACCGAAAAUUCAGAGCGAGGAGGGUAUGAUGUUCUGCGGAAAAAAUGAAAACAGCGCUCGGUGAAGACCG